ACGAGGCGGUGUCUCGGUUAACAAUGUCCCCUAAAAAUUGUCCAUAUUUCAAUCGCCGUAGAGCAAAUGACGAGGUUUCUCUUAAAGCAAGCAAAGCGACCGCCUAAGCAUGCUUUCGAGGCAACUUAAGAUAGGAAAAAAACUCAAGAGUUCAGUGAUCAAACACCAACAGAGCCUCGUGAUAAGUUGCCUGUAAAGAGGAGCAUGAUCCCAUCAGAUGCCUCCGAAGAGAUUGACCUGACGAACAAUGCUGCAAAGCAAAAUCUCAGUAAGCAAAGUGCUCAAACUCCUACAGAGCCUCGUGACAAGUUGCUUGUACACAGAAGAGCCUGAUCCCAUCAGAUGCCUCCGAAGAGAUUGAAAAGAACUGUUUACGG